AUGACCACAUCAAAGACUGAAACCCUCUAUUUAUCCACAGAACAGAUACAGCCUGGGAAACGCCAGUGUAACGUGCCAACGUGCCUAAAUCCUGACCUGGAGGGACAACCAUUGAGGAUGAGAGGUUAGUUGAGUCACAGAGUCUCUGACUAUAAGAGCUGAA
ensembl:misc_RNA